GUUUGAUCAUGGCUCAGAUUGAACGCUGGCGGCAGGCUUAACACAUGCAAGUCGAGCGGGGGAAGGUAGCUUGCUACUGGACCUAGCGGCGGACGGGUGAGUAAUGCUUAGGAAUCUGCCUAUUAGUGGGGGACAACAUCUCGAAAGGGAUGCUAAUACCGCAUACGUCCUACGGGAGAAAGCAGGGGAUCUUCGGACCUUGCGCUAAUAGAUGAGCCUAAGUCGGAUUAGCUAGUUGGUGGGGUAAAGGCCUACCAAGGCGACGAUCUGUAGCGGGUCUGAGAGGAUGAUCCGCCACACUGGGACUGAGACACGGCCCAGACUCCUACGGGAGGCAGCAGUGGGGAAUAUUGGACAAUGGGGGGAACCCUGAUCCAGCCAUGCCGCGUGUGUGAAGAAGGCCUUAUGGUUGUAAAGCACUUUAAGCGAGGAGGAGGCUACUUUAGUUAAUACCUAGAGAUAGUGGACGUUACUCGCAGAAUAAGCACCGGCUAACUCUGUGCCAGCAGCCGCGGUAAUACAGAGGGUGCGAGCGUUAAUCGGAUUUACUGGGCGUAAAGCGUGCGUAGGCGGCUUAUUAAGUCGGAUGUGAAAUCCCCGAGCUUAACUUGGGAAUUGCAUUCGAUACUGGUGAGCUAGAGUAUGGGAGAGGAUGGUAGAAUUCCAGGUGUAGCGGUGAAAUGCGUAGAGAUCUGGAGGAAUACCGAUGGCGAAGGCAGCCAUCUGGCCUAAUACUGACGCUGAGGUACGAAAGCAUGGGGAGCAAACAGGAUUAGAUACCCUGGUAGUCCAUGCCGUAAACGAUGUCUACUAGCCGUUGGGGCCUUUGAGGCUUUAGUGGCGCAGCUAACGCGAUAAGUAGACCGCCUGGGGAGUACGGUCGCAAGACUAAAACUCAAAUGAAUUGACGGGGGCCCGCACAAGCGGUGGAGCAUGUGGUUUAAUUCGAUGCAACGCGAAGAACCUUACCUGGCCUUGA
rnacentral:rRNA from 1 species